rnacentral:sRNA from 1 species
UGCAUCUGCGGCCGAAGCAGGAUGAGAACCGUCCGGGGGGAGGUUCGACUCGAGCGUAGCGGAGAGAACGUUGCGUCAGCAACGGCCCGUAGGGCGAGGCACGAAGUGGCGAGUCAUCCUCUAUCACCGACCA